rnacentral:rRNA from 1 species
UCGUCACACUAUCAUUAACUGAAUCCAUAGGUUAAUGAGGCGAACCGGGGGAACUGAAACAUCUAAGUACCCCGAGGAAAAGAAAUCAACCGAGAUUCCCCCAGUAGCGGCGAGCGAACGGGGAGGAGCCCAGAGCCUGAAUCAGCAUGUGUGUUAGUGGAAGCGUCUGGAAAGGCGCGCGAUACAGGGUGACAGCCCCGUACACAAAAGCGCAUGUGCUGUGAGCUCGAUGAGUAGGGCGGGACACGUGGUAUCCUGUCUGAAUAUGGGGGGACCAUCCUCCAAGGCUAAAUACUCCUGACUGACCGAUAGUGAACCAGUACCGUGAGGGAAAGGCGAAAAGAACCCCGGCGAGGGGAGUGAAAAAGAACCUGAAACCGUGUACGUACAAGCAGUGGGAGCACAGGUUUACCUGUGUGACUGCGUACCUUUUGUAUAAUGGGUCAGCGACUUAUAUUCUGUAGCAAGGUUAACCGAAUAGGGGAGCCGGAGGGAAACCGAGUCUUAAUUGGGCGUUAAGUUGCAGGGUAUAGACCCGAAACCCGGUGAUCUAGCCAUGGGCAGGUUGAAGGUUGGGUAACACUAACUGGAGGACCGAACCGACUAAUGUUGAAAAAUUAGCGGAUGACCUGUGGCUGGGGGUGAAAGGCCAAUCAAACCGGGAGAUAGCUGGUUCUCCCCGAAAGCUAUUUAGGUAGCGCCUCGUGAAUUCAUCUCCGGGGGUAGAGCACUGUUUCGGCUAGGGGGCCAUCCCGGCUUACCAACCCGAUGCAAACUGCGAAUACCGGAGAAUGUUAUCACGGGAGACACACGGCGGGUGCUAACGUCCGUCGUGAAGAGGGAAACAACCCAGACCGCCAGCUAAGGUCCCAAAGUCAUGGUUAAGUGGGAAACGAUGUGGGAAGGCCCAGACAGCCAGGAUGUUGGCUUAGAAGCAGCCAUCAUUUAAAGAAAGCGUAAUAGCUCACUGGUCGAGUCGGCCUGCGCGGAAGAUGUAACGGGGCUAAACCAUGCACCGAAGCUGCGGCAGCGACGCUUAUGCGUUGUUGGGUAGGGGAGCGUUCUGUAAGCCUGUGAAGGUGGCCUGUGAGGGUUGCUGGAGGUAUCAGAAGUGCGAAUGCUGACAUAAGUAACGAUAAAGCGGGUGAAAAGCCCGCUCGCCGGAAGACCAAGGGUUCCUGUCCAACGUUAAUCGGGGCAGGGUGAGUCGACCCCUAAGGCGAGGCCGAAAGGCGUAGUCGAUGGGAAACGGGUUAAUAUUCCCGUACUUGGUGUUACUGCGAAGGGGGGACGGAGAAGGCUAUGUUGGCCGGGCGACGGUUGUCCCGGUUUAAGCGUGUAGGUGUGUGUUCCAGGUAAAUCCGGUUCACUUUAACACUGAGGCGUGACGACGAGGCACUACGGUGCUGAAGCAACAAAUGCCCUGCUUCCAGGAAAAGCCUCUAAGCAUCAGGUAACAUCAAAUCGUACCCCAAACCGACACAGGUGGUCAGGUAGAGAAUACCAAGGCGCUUGAGAGAACUCGGGUGAAGGAACUAGGCAAAAUGGUGCCGUAACUUCGGGAGAAGGCACGCUGACACGUAGGUGAAGUGAUUUACUCACGGAGCUGAAGUCAGUCGAAGAUACCAGCUGGCUGCAACUGUUUAUUAAAAACACAGCACUGUGCAAACACGAAAGUGGACGUAUACGGUGUGACGCCUGCCCGGUGCCGGAAGGUUAAUUGAUGGGGUCAGCGCAAGCGAAGCUCCUGAUCGAAGCCCCGGUAAACGGCGGCCGUAACUAUAACGGUCCUAAGGUAGCGAAAUUCCUUGUCGGGUAAGUUCCGACCUGCACGAAUGGCGUAAUGAUGGCCAGGCUGUCUCCACCCGAGACUCAGUGAAAUUGAACUCGCUGUGAAGAUGCAGUGUACCCGCGGCAAGACGGAAAGACCCCGUGAACCUUUACUAUAGCUUGACACUGAACAUUGAGCCUUGAUGUGUAGGAUAGGUGGGAGGCUUUGAAGUGUGGACGCCAGUCUGCAUGGAGCCGACCUUGAAAUACCACCCUUUAAUGUUUGAUGUUCUAACGUGGACCCGUAAUCCGGGUUGCGGACAGUGUCUGGUGGGUAGUUUGACUGGGGCGGUCUCCUCCUAAAGAGUAACGGAGGAGCACGAAGGUUGGCUAAUCCUGGUCGGACAUCAGGAGGUUAGUGCAAUGGCAUAAGCCAGCUUGACUGCGAGCGUGACGGCGCGAGCAGGUGCGAAAGCAGGUCAUAGUGAUCCGGUGGUUCUGAAUGGAAGGGCCAUCGCUCAACGGAUAAAAGGUACUCCGGGGAUAACAGGCUGAUACCGCCCAAGAGUUCAUAUCGACGGCGGUGUUUGGCACCUCGAUGUCGGCUCAUCACAUCCUGGGGCUGAAGUAGGUCCCAAGGGUAUGGCUGUUCGCCAUUUAAAGUGGUACGCGAGCUGGGUUUAGAACGUCGUGAGACAGUUCGGUCCCUAUCUGCCGUGGGCGCUGGAGAACUGAGGGGGGCUGCUCCUAGUACGAGAGGACCGGAGUGGACGCAUCACUGGUGUUCGGGUUGUCAUGCCAAUGGCACUGCCCGGUAGCUAAAUGCGGAAGAGAUAAGUGCUGAAAGC